rnacentral:misc_RNA from 1 species
UUUCCGUAGGUGAACCUGCGGAAGGAUCAUUACUGAGAGAUGGUCUAUCAGGCUUUACCUCCCCCCCUGUGCUUUUGUGACCUUGUUGCUUGAGCGUGUCCGUCUAGAUGGGAGGCCCCCGGAAGCUCACCGCUUUGGGCCCGUUCCCGACAGUAGCACCCUUAAACUAUUAAUAAACCUGUUGUCAGAGUCUGGUUAUAAUAAAAAAAAAUUUAAAAAACGGACCUCUUGGUUCUGGCAUCGACGACGAAAGCACCAGAUCGGCAGAGAACACGUCUG